UACCUCCCUACGGGUAUAUAAGGAUCUAUUGAAUUUCGUGUCAAACUUUGACCAACAAUUAUACAAAUAAUAUUUGUCAUAUGUAAUAUUUGACAUAUGUAUAUAAACUACAUCAUUAGGAAGAACUUUCUAAUAUGAAUCCAACGAUAUCUUUUUUGUGCCAAAAUAGCCCCAUAUUACCAAUGUAAAUUUUGAUCAAAAAAUUCGGCAUAAAAUUUUGUGAGUGCCUUACAAACUCGGGCGGAGGAAGUAUAUGUAUUCUCGCUCUGUUUGUGUUGGCAUGAAAUUAUCAACACGACCAUCCCCUCCUAGAGAUCCUUUUCACCCCUUUAUCAUUGAUAGGGUCCUUUUUCUGUAUUAGCUUGCUAAUUAAUUAUCAGAAGUAGAUACAAAUGUGGCAUCAUAUAAAUUUCUCUAACUUUGGACUGGUUAGCAUUAACAUUCUUACAAAAUAUGUUUACAAAAGUAAGCUGGCAGUUGUUGUAGAACCUAGAGUUCUAUUGGGAACCCCUAAAAACAUCUAUAGAUAAAUCAAUCCAGUAUAACCGCUGCAUUUCCUAGCCAAAGGGCAAACAUGUAAUCUGCCACCCAUCCCAUCUCACCAUCCUAAUCCUCAACCAAUCAAGCAUUCUUCUCUCUCUCUCUCUCUCUCAAAGACAAUUAUCAUCGUCGCUUCAGAAAACCCAAAAAGAAAAUAAAAUAAAAGCAAAAAAGGGAGGGCAAAAAGAAAGAAAAAAACACUUCUUCUCUAGUCCACCUCCUCUUGCGAGCGCAUGACGCAGACAACAACAGGAGCAGCGGCACAAUUUUGCUUCCCCCGCAGCAAUACAGCACAGCUACGAACCCAAAAGGGUAUGAGGGAGUAGCCGAGAGGGAGAGCAAGCAAAGAGGAGCAGCGAGAUACGGGUGGUGAGCGCGCGAGGCGGUAGGAGGAGGAGCAGGGGAAACCCUAGAAUUUGCCAUCCAAUCCCACGGUGGGGUCCGCUAGGUUUGCGCUCAGAUCUGCAUCGGGGCUACCCAGUCGCGGCGGGGAGAUCAAGAGGACGCGCGAGGCUGGUGAGUUGGGUGUUGGGGCCACGGAUUCGGGCCGCGGGUGGUGGAAUGUGGGUGGGUGCAAUGUCGAUUUUAGCUGAUGCUGCUGUUUUUUUCUACUCUUUUAUUUGGUGCGGUUUAGAAGCGUUUGUGCUGUGGCGGUGUUGGUGAUUUGGUUCUUGGCUUUGGUUUUGUCUGUGUGGGUGGGUGGUUUGAUGGGUUGAGAGGUGGAAUCGGUGAGAUUUAUUUGUAAAUUCGCGUCCGAUUUGAUGAUUGUUGCGUUUGUGCUGGUUGAUCCUACUAGCUGCUG
rnacentral:lncRNA from 1 species